UAACCGUAGGUGAACCUGCGGAAGGAUCAUUACAGAGUUCAUGCCCUCACGGGUAGAUCUCCCACCCUUGAAUAUUUAUACCUUAGUUGCUUUGGCAGGCCGUGGAAACACCAUGGGCUCCGGCUUAUGCGUGCCUGCCAGAGGAAGCAAACUCUGUUUUUAGUGAUGUCUGAGUACUAUAUAAUAGUUAAAACUUUCAACAACGGAUCUCUUGGUUCUG
rnacentral:misc_RNA from 1 species